ensembl:lncRNA uncharacterized LOC114846699
AUGACAACAAGAAUGGAUGCAAAGGUCUACAGAGACGAAGAUAACAGUUGGGUUGCGCCAUUGCCUUUCAGAGAACCCAGACAGCGUUUGCCAAAUAACAAAGAGCAAGCAAUUAGUCGAUUCACUUCCCUGAAACGAACAAUGAAAAGGAAACCAGAGAUGCAGCAACAGUAUGUGGAGUUCAUGGGAAGGAUAUUUGCCAAUGGACAUGCUGAGGUGGCACCUCAACUGAAAGAAAAUGAGGAAUGCUGGUAUCUCCCAACAUUUGGAGUUUAUCACCCACAGAAACCCAACCAGAUCAGAGUGGUUUUUGAUUCUAGUGCACAGUGGUCUGGCACCUCACUCAACGAUGUGCUUCUUAAAGGUCCUGAUCUAAAUAACAGUCUCCUAGGUGUUCUGUUACGGUUCAGGAAAGAGAAGGUUGCAGUUCUUGCUGACAUCCAGCAAAUGUUUCACUGUUUCCUAGUACAUGAAGACCACAGAAACUUCUUACGAUUUCUUUGGCACAAGGAUAAUGACAUCAACAAGGAGGUUGUCGAGUACAGAAUGAGAGUCCACGUCUUCGGUAACAGUCCGUCGCCUGCAGUUGCUGUCUAUGGGCUAAGAAGAGCCAUAAGGGAAGGUGCACAAAGGUAUGGCGAGGACACUGUUAAGUUUGUGGAAAGACACUUUUAUGUCGAUGAUGGCCUAAUAUCAGUGUCAACUGAAGCUGAAGCAAUUGAUCUUCUGAAACGAACACAGGCUUCACUCGCAGAGUCUAACCUGCGUUUGCACAAGCUCGUUUCAAACUGUCAGGCAGUCACAGAGGCCUUCUCACCAGAAGACUGUGCAGUGGUGAAGAACUUGGAUUUGAGUGGAAAAGACACACCCACACAGCGAAGUUUAGGUCUUCUGUGGGAAAUCAGAACGGACACAUUCACCUUCUCAGUGCCACCAAAUAACAAGCUAUUCACUCGUCGAGGUGUUCUGUCUACUGUGAGUAGCAUUUUCGAUCCUCUGGGCCUGAUUGCUCCGGUCACAAUCCAGGGAAGAGCAAUUCUAAGAGAACUUACCUCCGAGCAGUCUGACUGGGACACACCCCUGCCUGCAGAUAGGCUAAACCAAUGGGAGGCGUGGAGAAAUUCACUUCAAGAUCUAAAGCAGCUUCAUGUCCCACGUAUUUAUACUGCGGCUUCACCCAGUGAAACAACAUACAAAGAACUGUGUGUGUUCUCAGAUGCUUCAGUCAAAGCUAUAGGUGCAGUAGCAUAUUUAAGAACAGUUCAAGAACACGGCCAUGUCGAGGUGGGAUUCAUCAUGGGUAAGGCGAAGCUGGCACCACAAUCUGUCCCAACAGUCCCAAGACUUGAGCUCUGUGCAGCCGUCUUAGCAGUUGAAAUGGCUGAUCUCAUACAAGACGAGCUGGAUCUGGAACUGGAUGCUGUCAAGUUUUACACAGACAGCAAAGUGGUUCUUGGUUACAUCUGUAACGAAUCAAAACGAUUCUAUUUGUACGUCCAUAAUAGAGUCCAGCGAAUUCGCAUGUCAUCAAGGCCAGAACAAUGGAAUUACGUCCAUACAGAGAAGAACCCUGCUGACCAUGCUUCAAGAUCCGUGCCUGCAUCUCAUCUUGCUCAGACCUCAUGGUUUACAGGACCUGACUUCCUCCGUAAGACACCUGUGGAAGAAACACAACCCAGUCCAUCAUUUGAGUUAAUCGAACCAGAAACGGAUGUGGAAAUUCGACCAGAAGUAAGGACCUGUGCUACCUUUCUGGACAGCAAAGUGCUAACAUCUGAACGCUUUCAGCGAUUCUCUACCUUUACCUCAUUGGUAAGAAGCAUAGCAUCACUUAUCCACAUUGCCAAAUCAUACAAUCACUCAGUUCAAAACAGCAAAUGCAAGGGAUGGCACAUAUGUAACUUACCGCAUACUCAAGAGGAACGUGACCAAGCCAAGGACGUUAUCUUCAAAGCAACGCAAAUUUCAGCUUUUGCCAAGGAACGUGCAGCCUUGCACACCAACAAAAUGAUACCUACCAACAGCUGUUUAAGGACACUCAAUCCAAUCCUGGAUAAUGGUCUUCUUGUUUUAGGAGGACGCCUUAAAUAUUCAGGCCUCACAUCUGUGGAAAAGAACCCAAUAAUCCUGCCGAAGCGCAACCACAUCUCUGUGCUGCUCACACGUUAUUACCAUGAGCAAGUGAAACACCAAGGUCGCCAUCUGACAGAAGGUGCCAUCAGGGCCGCUGGUUUGUGGAUUUUGGGAGGCAAAGCUCUGGUCAAUUCAGUGCUUCAUAAAUGUGUGAUCUGCCGCAAACUGCGAGGAAAACAGGAAGAGCAACAUAUGUCAGAUCUGCCACCUGAACGACUCCAAGUCUGCCCUCCAUUUACAUAUGUAGGACUAGACGUUUUUGGGCCAUGGUCUGUCAACAUCAGACGUACUAGAGGAGGACAAGCGGGAAGCAAAAGAUGGGCUAUCAUGUUCAGUUGCAUGAGUUCACGAGCAGUCCACAUCGAGGUCAUCGAGUCUAUGGACACGUCCAGCUGCAUCAACGCCCUCAGGCGUUUCUUCGCACUCAGAGGCCCUGCAAAGCAGUUACGAUCUGACUGUGGCACUAACUUCAUCGGUGCAAGCAAAGAACUGGGCAUGGACAAAAGGAUGCAUAGUUACCUGAGUGAACAGGGUUGCACAUGGGUAUUCAACCCACCCCAUGCCUCUCAUAUGGGAGGUUCCUGGGAACGAAUGAUAGGCAUCGCUAGAAGAAUCCUCGACUCAAUGUUUUUACAGCAGAACAUUCGACUAACACAUGAGGUACUGUGCACACUGAUGGCAGAGGUUACAGCCAUUAUGAAUGGACGGCCGCUUACACCUGUGUCUUCAGAUCCAGAAAACCCCUUCAUUCUUUCUCCGUCGAUGCUCCUCACACAGAAAGUAGGAGUUCCGCCUCCAUUAGGGGAGUUUUCAGACAAAGAUCUACACACAAAGCAGUGGAGACAGGUUCAGACCCUAGCAGAUCAGUUCUGGACUCGUUGGAAAAAGGAAUAA